UACGUAGGGUGCAAGCGUUAAUCGGAAUUACUGGGCGUAAAGCGUGCGCAGGCGGCUUUGCAAGACAGAUGUGAAAUCCCCGGGCUUAACCUGGGAACUGCAUUUGUGACUGCAUGGCUGGAGUGCGGCAGAGGGGGAUGGAAUUCCGCGUGUAGCAGUGAAAUGCGUAGAUAUGCGGAGGAACACCGAUGGCGAAGGCAGCCCCCUGGGCUAGCACUGACGCUCAGGCACGAAAGCGUGGGGAGCAAACAGG
rnacentral:rRNA from 1 species